rnacentral:rRNA from 1 species
GAUGAACGCUGGCGGCGUGCCUAAUACAUGCAAGUCGAGCGCACGGACGAGAAGCUUGCUUCUCUGAUGUUAGCGUCGGACGGGUGAGUAACACGUUGAUACCCUACCUAUAAGACUGGGAUAACUUCGUGAAACCGGAGCUAAUACCGUAUUAUAUUUUGAACCUCAUUGUUCAAAAGUGAAAGACGGUCUUGCUGUCACUUAUCGAUGGAUCCGCGCUGCAUUAGCUAUUUGGUAAGGUAACGGCUUACCAAGGCAACGAUGCAUAGCCGACCUGAGAGGGUGAUCGGCCACACUGGAACUGAGACACGGUCAAGACUCCUACGGGAGGCAGCAGUAGGGAAUCUCCCGCAAUGGGCAAAAGCCUGACGGAGCAACGCCGCGUGAGUGAUGAAGGUCUUCGGAUCGUAAAACUCUGUUAUUAGGGAAGAACAGAUGUGUAAGUAACUGUGCACAUCUUGACGGUACCUAAUCAGAAAGCCACGGCUAACUACGUG